AUGCGUGUUGUAAAGGCCCAAGGGCCUCUUCCAUCCUUGUCAAGGGGAGUGCUAACCUUCUCUCCUUUCAUACAACACAAAUUUGUAGCAAAUAUGCUGUCUGUAGCAGGUGCAGAUCACAUCAUCACCAUGGAUCUACAUGCUUCUCAGAUUCAGGGCUUUUUUGAUAUUUCAGUUGAUAAUUUAUAUGCUGAGCCAGCUGUCCUAAAGUGGAUAAAAGAGAAUAUUUCUGAGUGGAAGAACUGCACUAUUGUCUCACCCGAUGCUGGUGGAGCCAAGAGAGUGACCUCCAUCGCAGACCGGUUGAACGUGGACUUUGCCUUGAUUCACAAAGAACGGAAGAAAGCCAAUGAAGCGGACCGCAUGGUGCUCGUGGGGACGUGAAGGAUCGAGUGGCUAUCCUCGUGGAUGACAUGGCUGACACUUGUGGCACAAUCUGCCAUGCAGCUGACAAACUUCUCUCCGCUGGAGCCACCAGAGUAUAUGCUAUCUUAACCCAUGGGAUCUUUUCUGGCCCAGCCAUUUCUCGCAUUAACAACGCAUGCUUUGAAGCAGUAGUAGUGACGAAUACCAUACCUCAAGAGGAUAAGAUGAAGCAUUGCUCCAAAGUACAGGUGAUUGACAUCUCCAUGAUCCUUGCAGAAGCCAUCAGGAGAACUCACAAUCGAGAAUCUGUGUCUUAUCUGUUCAGCCAUGUCCCUUUGUAA